rnacentral:rRNA from 1 species
UGGGGAAUAUUGCACAAUGGGCGCAAGCCUGAUGCAGCCAUGCCGCGUGUAUGAAGAAGGCCUUCGGGUUGUAAAGUACUUUCAGUCGGGAGGAAGGUGGUAAGGUUAAUAACCUUGGCAAUUGACGUUACCGACAGAAGAAGCACCGGCUAACUCCGUGCCAGCAGCCGCGGUAAUACGGAGGGUGCAAGCGUUAAUCGGAAUUACUGGGCGUAAAGCGCACGCAGGCGGUUGAUUGAGUCAGAUGUGAAAUCCCCGGGCUUAACCCGGGGAUUGCAUCUGAUACUGGUCAGCUAGAGUCUUGUAGAGGGGGGUAGAAUUCCAUGUGUAGCGGUGAAAUGCGUAGAGAUGUGGAGGAACACCGGUGGCGAAGGCGGCCCCCUGGACAAAGACUGACGCUCAGGUGCGAAAGCGUGGGGAGCAAACAGG